GUAACAACCGGCCCUCAAUUUCUGGAGGUGUGGUUGGAGGCGGAAUGUUUUUUUUUCUGACUUCUUAUAAAAGCGUAGCCCGCAGUCAGCAGGUGAGCAAGCGAGGCUCUCAACUCCAGCGCACGGGUGUCGAUCCGAGAUUUUGACAAGCAGAAGACCAUUCAGGGCUCAUCUCAGUGACGAUGCCGUACGGUCCAUACAGGCCCUGCGUUCCUCCGCGGGUGUGCUAUCCCGCAGCCCCGGCUUGCGGCCCCUACGGAGGGUACAGGCCGGGCUUUGGCUACGGCUAUGGCUACGGCCACGGCUACGGGCAUCACAAUGGCUACGGGCACGGAUACGGCUACCACGGAUACGGGCACGGAUACGGCCACCACAGAUACGGCUACGGCCACAGAGGAUGUUCGAUACAAUAGAAUCUAUGACCUUGAAAUGUACAUGUUGACAUACGGAGCAUGUAUAUUCUCAGCUCAACAACAGCAGCAAUCGUUAUAACAAUCAUUAGUUGCAAUAAAAUGGGAAUCUGAAAAGAAAAUAAUGAAUGGCGUCGCCGCAUAAGCCAAAUCAGCUCUGUUGUUCCAUUUGUUUCUCAAGAACAGCAAAAAUCCUAUUGGGUCAGUUUGGCCCGGGUUGUGUGUGCAUUUCCAAAAGUGUCCCAAAUGGAUCCGAAUCCCAAUAUUGUUUGCAUCUCAUCUUCAUCAUGAGCAAAUUUCCCAGGGCUACGUCCUCAGAGGCUAACCCAGCAGGAGAGUCAAAUAGGCUGACGGGGGACCCAAAUGGAGCGAGUUACGUAACAUUGAAAUUCAACACUUGAGAGAGCAAGUAGAGAACCACGGCGCCGCCUGGUGGAGACCAACCUUACUCACCGGAUUUAGUCCUCUGCAAAAUCAAAAGUGAUGCAGAUAAUGUCCUGACCACCAAAGUCAUCUGACCGCUGUCCAAAAAUGCUUUGCAUUGAACAAAACUCAAAACCGGG